rnacentral:rRNA from 1 species
GACGAACGCUGGCGGCGUGCUUAACACAUGCAAGUCGAACGGAAAGGCCCUGCUUUUGUGGGGUGCUCGAGUGUCGAACGGGUGAGUAACACGUGAGUAACCUGCCCUUGACUUUGGGAUAACUUCAGUAAACUGGGGCUAAUACCGGAUAGGAGCUCCUGCUGCAUGGUGGGGGUUGGAAAGUUUCGGCGGUUUGGGAUGGACUGGCGGCUUAUCAGCUUGUUGGUGGGGUAGUGGCCUACCAAGGCUUUGACGGGUAGCCGGCCUGAGGGGGGGACCGGCCACAAUGGGAGUGAGAUACGGCCCAGACUCCUACGGGAGGCAGCAGUGGGGAAUAUUGCACAAUGGGCGGAAGACUGAUGCAGCAACGCCGCGUGCGGGAUGAAGGCCUUCGGGUUGUAAACCGCUUUCGCCUGUGACGAAGCGUGAGUGACGGUAAUGGGUAAAGAAGCACCGGCUAACUACGUG